UUGAAGAGUUUGAUCAUGGCUCAGAUUGAACGCUGGCGGCAGGCCUAACACAUGCAAGUCGAACGGUAACAGGAAGCAGCUUGCUGCUUCGCUGACGAGUGGCGGACGGGUGAGUAAUGUCUGGGAAACUGCCUGAUGGAGGGGGAUAACUACUGGAAACGGUAGCUAAUACCGCAUAACGUCGCAAGACCAAAGAGGGGGACCUUCGGGCCUCUUGCCAUCGGAUGUGCCCAGAUGGGAUUAGCUAGUAGGUGGGGUAACGGCUCACCUAGGCGACGAUCCCUAGCUGGUCUGAGAGGAUGACCAGCCACACUGGAACUGAGACACGGUCCAGACUCCUACGGGAGGCAGCAGUGGGGAAUAUUGCACAAUGGGCGCAAGCCUGAUGCAGCCAUGCCGCGUGUGUGAAGAAGGCCUUCGGGUUGUAAAGCACUUUCAGCGGGGAGGAAGGCGGCAAGGUUAAUAACCUUGCCGAUUGACGUUACCCGCAGAAGAAGCACCGGCUAACUCCGUGCCAGCAGCCGCGGUAAUACGGAGGGUGCAAGCGUUAAUCGGAAUUACUGGGCGUAAAGCGCACGCAGGCGGUCUGUCAAGUCGGAUGUGAAAUCCCCGGGCUCAACCUGGGAACUGCAUUCGAAACUGGCAGGCUAGAGUCUUGUAGAGGGGGGUAGAAUUCCAGGUGUAGCGGUGAAAUGCGUAGAGAUCUGGAGGAAUACCGGUGGCGAAGGCGGCCCCCUGGACAAAGACUGACGCUCAGGUGCGAAAGCGUGGGGAGCAAACAGGAUUAGAUACCCUGGUAGUCCACGCCGUAAACGAUGUCGACUUGGAGGUUGUGCCCUUGAGGCGUGGCUUCCGGAGCUAACGCGUUAAGUCGACCGCCUGGGGAGUACGGCCGCAAGGUUAAAACUCAAAUGAAUUGACGGGGGCCCGCACAAGCGGUGGAGCAUGUGGUUUAAUUCGAUGCAACGCGAAGAACCUUACCUACUCUUGACAUCCAGAGAACUUAGCAGAGAUGCUUUGGUGCCUUCGGGAACUCUGAGACAGGUGCUGCAUGGCUGUCGUCAGCUCGUGUUGUGAAAUGUUGGGUUAAGUCCCGCAACGAGCGCAACCCUUAUCCUUUGUUGCCAGCGGUCCGGCCGGGAACUCAAAGGAGACUGCCAGUGAUAAACUGGAGGAAGGUGGGGAUGACGUCAAGUCAUCAUGGCCCUUACGAGUAGGGCUACACACGUGCUACAAUGGCGCAUACAAAGAGAAGCGACCUCGCGAGAGCAAGCGGACCUCAUAAAGUGCGUCGUAGUCCGGAUUGGAGUCUGCAACUCGACUCCAUGAAGUCGGAAUCGCUAGUAAUCGUAGAUCAGAAUGCUACGGUGAAUACGUUCCCGGGCCUUGUACACACCGCCCGUCACACCAUGGGAGUGGGUUGCAAAAGAAGUAGGUAGCUUAACCUUCGGGAGGGCGCUUACCACUUUGUGAUUCAUGACUGGGGUGAAGUCGUAACAAGGUAACCGUAGGGGAACCUGCGGUUGGAUCACCUCCUU
rnacentral:rRNA from 1 species